rnacentral:tRNA from 1 species
CAAACCUCUCCUAUUAUUGAUCCUACAGCACUCUACCUAAUCGUGAACUGAAAGACCGAAUAGUGCAAUAUACGG